GUGUAUAAAUGUAAAAUAUCUGUUCAUGGAUUAAAUAUCACCUAAUGACGACAACAAACUACUGUGCUGUUCUGUUGCAAUAUUUUCUACAAGUGUUGAACGGAUAUAUAGGGCCUAAGUAGAGACAUAUGCCAUGGCACCUAAGCAAAGACCUGUACCUCCCAAAAAAUCGAAAAGGUUACAACUGCGUUGUGAGAAGGCUUCAAGGAGUCCAGAGGCUACCAGUUCAUCUAGUACAUCAGGUUAUGCAACGGGUGGCAAUGUGGAAACAGCAGCAGGUAACCUAGCACAGCAAAUUAAAUUGCAGAUCACAGCAGCUAUACCUGAAAUAGCACAUGCCGUGGCUAACACUUUAAAAAAUUAUGGUUUGACCGUGAACUUGCAGAGCAAGCAGAACAAUCCAAGGCCAGAUGAGCAGCUGGAAUCGUUCCUGUUGUCAACAUGCCCACAAGGUAAUGGUGAAGCAUCAACCAUACUGAAUCCAGGUUUAAGUAUGGUGGGUGCUGCAGGAUUUGACAACCAUAGCAUGUCAUUGGGGUUGGGGGUUGAUGCUAAAACUAAGGCAAAGAUUUGGGCCAACUAAUACAUAGACUUUGGCAUACUCGUUAAUCAGGCUAACCUGAAAGAGAAAUUUACUGUAGUUGAGCAGGACGGUCAAAUGGCCUUUGUCAAACAAUCCCCAUCACAGUUUAAGUUUGUCUCAGUGAUGCAGUGGAUUUUUGCAUUUUAUGUGUUUGUUGGCAUUUACUGUCAGAAACAUCCUCAAGAAGCUUGUGCUUUAAUGAAUUACGGUUAUCCAUUCAAACGCUUGCGAAGCAAACGUGUGACUAUGCAGCCUUGCAGUAUGACAGGAAAUUUUGACAGUGGCGUGAAUCAUGCCCUGAUCAACUGCUCUGGGAUCAAUUGAAUCCUGAGUUAUACCAAGAGGCUUUAGCAAAUGGCAUUAAUCAUAAAUUGCGGCGUGACUGGCAGAUCCGCGAUAACAAUCACAAACGGUCCCACUAGGCAUCACAGGUUUGUUUUCGCUACAACAGUUCCAACAGUUGCACCAAAGGUCGGCUCUGUUCCUUUCAACACGUCUGCCAAAAGUGUGGUGGCCAGCACCCAAAAUCUUCCUGCUCAAACAAUGGCCAACCACGAGGUCAGCCCAGAAAAGCAACUCUGCCAGUCAGUCAGCAAUAGCAACCACCCAUUGGCCCCUAUCAAAGUGGAUAGGUUACAGUUUUGGCUAGAUGGAUAUCCCAUCAGUAAAAAACUCUUCAUUGUCAAUGGUUUCAUUUUGUGUUUUGUAUUCCGUACAGAAGUAACAGACAACAUAGAUUAUCAAAAAACCUUAGAUCAGCUCAGGUAAACUUAGAUAUUUCAGAAGAAGAGAUUAAACAAGAAUCUCAACUAGGACGCAUAGAAGGUCCAUUUUCAGAUAUCCCCUUUCCAAGUCUUCAAGUUUCACCACUUGGCUUAGUUCCCAAAAAACAACCUGGGGAAUAUAGGGUCAUCCACCAUCUAUCAUAUCCUGAAGGUAAUUCUAUUAAUGACGGUAUCCCUAAAGACCUAUGUUCAGUGCAAUACCAAACCAUAGAAGAUGCACUAAAAUUGAUCAAGCAUUUUGGUCCCGGGUGUUUACUGGCUAAAACUGACAUCGAGAAUGCCUUUAGGAUUAUCCCCAUCCAUCCUAGGGAUUAUGACCUCCUGGGUUUUUCCAUUAAGGGACAAUUUUUCUAUGACAAGAUGCUUCUGAUGGGUUUCAGUUACUCUUGUUGUCUUUUUGAAUGUGUUAGCUGUGCCUUACAUUGGAUUAUGGAAACUAAAUUACUAUCAAAAGGUUGUGUUCAUGUGUUAGAUGAUUUUCUCUUUAUUGGUCCACAGUGUUAGUUGUCAGAAAAGUCUGGAUGCUGUUUUACAUCUUUCUCGAGAUCUGGGGGUUCCUAUAAAAUCGGAGAAAACAGUUCUACCUACUACUACCAUUACUUUUCUGGGGUUAGAAUUGGACACUCUGGCUAUGGAGAUAAGACUUCCAACAGAAAAAGUCUGCAAACUUAGGAUGGCAUUGUCAGAAUUCAAAAGAAAGAAAAAUGUCUGCAAACUUAGGAUGGCAUUGUCAGAAUUCAAAAGAAAGAAAAAAGCUUCGCCUUUCGAAUUACAGUCCCGCAUUGGGUUACUCAAUUUUGCCUGUUCAGUGGUUACUCCUGGUCGGGCAUUCUUGAGGCGAAUCAUUGACGUUACAAUUGGUUUUUAAAAAACCUUACCACGGGAGGAGAAUAAAUAAAGAGGCCAGAGCUGAUUUUCAGACUUGGUCAUCUUUUAUUGAUGAGUUUAAUGGGAGAGCAGUUCUUUUGAAUGGUGUUUUUGAAACCUCAGAUACAUUGUGUGUAUAUACUGAUGCAAGUAAUUUGGGCUUUGGAGGAACCUUCCAAACCAAAUGGUUCUUUCAUCAUGGGGAAAGUGAUUGGGUGUUUUAUCACAUAACAGUUAGGGUACUUUUUCCUAUCGUUGUAGCUGUAGAGUUAUGGGCCCAUGAGUUGAAGGAUAAAUGUUAUGUUUUACUCUGAAAAUGCAGCAGUAGUGCACAUAAUUAACAACCAAACAUCAAAAGAUCUGGUAAUCAUGAAGCUGUUAUGCAGGCUUAUCCUGAUUUUAUUACAUAACAACAUCAUGUUUAAAGCAUCACACAUUCCAGGAUUGCAAAAUGUAGCAGCUGAUCUACUUUCUCGGUUACAGGUUCAGCAGUUCAAAACAUGUUUUCCUCAGAUGGCCAAGCUGCCCACAGAGAUACCACCCAUACAAAUCAACUGAAGGAGUUAGCUUCGAAGUUGUUGUUGUCAGCAUUGUCACCCUCCUCCAGACAGGCAUACGGACAUGCUUUUGUGGUAUAUAAGCAAUUUGUCAUAAUCAGUUUCCCCAAAAACCCAUAUUACCAGCUUCACUUGAAAUGGUAAUGUUAUUCAUUGCCAGUUGCUAUCAAAAAACGUUGGCUGCAGCAUCCGUGGCAAGCUAUGUCUCAGCUUUGGGUUACAUUCACAAGUUUGGGGGUUAUCAAGAUAUUACCCAACAUUUCAUUAUCGUAAAACUUUGCAGGGCUUUACUAAACUCCGUGCAACUCAUGACCAUUGACUGCGUAUUACCCCUCAGGUACUCAAACAACUAGUGUUUUCCUUACAGUUCACUUGCAGUUCCCAGUUUUUACAACUCAUGUUACAGGCAAUGUAUCUUCUGGCUUUUCAUGCCUUUUUACGGAUAGGUGAAAUUACCGGACCUACUCCACCAUCUGGUAAUAGCCUAACCUUUGCUGAUGUUAAAUUUAAAAUGGAUGACACUCGUUUCCCAAGGUCAUUGGAGAUUUGUAUGAAACAAUACAAGCAUAGCACGGGGAAACAUUUACCACUGAUAAUUUUGGAGGAAAAUUCUAACACACCUCAGCUGUGUCCUGUUAAAGUAGGCUGGAACUUUGUGAGGAUUCGUAAACAUCAUUCGUUCUCUGCCCCGCUUUUCUCUUUUAUGGAUGGCACGGCAGUGUCUCGUCAGUUUUUCUCAAGGCAGUUAAGGCUUUCUCUUCAAUGGUCAGGGUUGUACACUAAUGAGUGCAAGGGACAUAGCUUCCACAUUGGAGCCGCUACUACAGCGGCCAUGAUGGAAAUUUCCGAGGACCAGAUUCGUACCAUGGGGCGAUGGCAUUCUCAUGCAUUCAAGAAGUACAUCCGCAUACCAUCCCUGCAGUUAAAUGAGCAUAUGUAACAGUUCAGUCCUACACACAGGUUUAACUAUAAAGAUUUUAAAUCUCUGCUGAUUCUGAGUCAUUAGCUAGAUGGCAACUAAGGCCUUCUUUGCAGGAGAUACUGUUGUCAAGUGCCACACAGCUGUAUAGACAAUUGUCAGACUAGUUCAGUUGCAAACCUGGGGACAGAUGCCUCGGUUACAAGGUACUGGUUCAAGUUAGAAGCCUUAAAUAUAUAUACUUUUUCCUGAUUGUCUUAUAUUAGUUAACCUAAGUAUACAUAUAGUGGCCUGGGGACCACGGCCUUGGCUAUACUAAAUAUUAUGUAUGUUCUUUCUUUACACACGUCCAUUUUAUGGUCUACAAUGAUAUGUUCAAGGGUUUAUUUGUUAUUAUUUUGUAGAUGAGGUCAGCUCCAGUGACCUAGGGACAAGGGCCCUGGUCAAUCUGGAUUGUUACCUUAGUUGGUAAGGCACGGGAAUUAAUUAUAUUCCAACUUGUAUUCGUCCAUAAAAGCCUGGGGUCAAGGGCCUUGGCUGCAUUAGUUUUGAUUUUACGAUGAUCACUGUACACGUAUCUUGCCUUUACUGCAUGGGGACUUGGGCCUCUGCAGUAUUAUUUUUCAUGGAUAUCUAAUUCUCUUCAGAGGUAUCGGAGAGUAGGCAAAUGUGAAAAUCAAAAAACAGUGGCACAGAAAAGGUUGUGGAUGGGGGUGAUUUGUAUUGUAUACAAAUCUGUGGCGCGUAUUUGAACCCCAUCUUUCAUGGUUCACUGAAAAUUUAGGAUUUUGAAUAUAACAUUUUCCGUCAAUUAUCAAUAAAUGGCCUUUUUCAAUUCAUUUGGCGUGUUUGUGUUUUAUUCACCGCUAACCAUGAAACCGAGAACAUCAUUUUCUGGAGAUUGACACAAAUCAAUAUUUAUUGUGUAUAAAUAUAUUUAUGGCAAAUCUAGAUCCGUGUUUAAGCACUAAUCAGGAUUCGCGUUUUAGCGCCAAGCUCUUUCUAACUUUGCUAAGAGUUAUUUUCCUUGUAACAUUUUGGCGCAGAAAGAAUAGAAAAGAAAUUGUUCGCCCACCCUCCCACCUCCUUUGAUGUAUUAUUCUUUUUGAAAGUUGAUUAUAUGUUUUUAUCUGUGUGACUUUUUAAUAAACAUUCACUACUUGUUCUUUCUGGCGGGUAUUUGAACCCCAUCUUUCAUGGUUCACACUGGAAAUUUAGGGUUUUGAAUAUAACAUUUUCCGUCAUUUAUCAAUAAAUGGCCUUUUUCAAUUCAUUUGGUGUGUUUAUGUUUUAUUCACCACUAACCAUGAAACGGAGCACAUCAUUUUCUGCAGAUUGACAUAAAAUCAUAUUUUAGUAGCAUUUCUUUCGCCUAUAUGAACAUAAGGAGGAUGGUUUUAAUCACUGUAUUGUGCGUGGCAAAAAAUGUAUGAACGAUUCUUAAUAAGAAUGGUUAUUGUGGGUUUUGAGACACAAGGGCGGGGACCGGGAUGGGACCCGUUCCACCCCCUAAAAAAUUAAAAUGCCCCUUUUGAAGAAUUUG
rnacentral:misc_RNA from 1 species